rnacentral:piRNA from 1 species
UGACACCCUCUUUUCUGUAAUAUUUCAGAA